GCCUCGGUAGUCUAAUUGGCUAGGACACUUGCUUAAAGCAAGGUAUCCGGGUUCGACUCCCGGCCGAUGUA
rfam:Cyphomyrmex costatus contig16261, whole genome shotgun sequence.